rnacentral:rRNA from 1 species
UACGUAGGGGGCAAGCGUUGUCCGGAUUUAUUGGGCGUAAAGAGCUUGUAGGCGGUUUGUCGCGUCUGCCGUGAAAAUCCGGGGCUCAACCCCGGACUUGCGGUGGGUACGGGCAGACUAGAGUGUGGUAGGGGAGACUGGAAUUCCUGGUGUAGCGGUGAAAUGCGCAGAUAUCAGGAGGAACACCGAUGGCGAAGGCAGGUCUCUGGGCCACUACUGACGCUGAGAAGCGAAAGCGUGGGGAGCGAACAGG